UGCCCCAUGGCUGAGUUGGUUACAGCGUCCGACUGUUAUCCUUCGGGAAAAGGCGGUAUCGGAAGGUCGUGAGUUCGAGCCUCACUGGGGCAG